rnacentral:tRNA from 1 species
AGUAACCUCAGCUAACUAAGCUAUUGGGCCCAUACCCCAAUCAUGCAGGUUGAACUCCUGCUAUUACUA